rnacentral:rRNA from 1 species
GAUGAACGCUGGCGGCGUGCCUAAUACAUGCAAGUCGAGCGAACGGACGAGAAGCUUGCUUCUCUGACGUUAGCGGCGGACGGGUGAGUAACACGUGGAUAACCUACCUAUAAGACGGGGAUAACUUCGGGAAACCGUAGAUAAUAGCGGAUAAUCUUUUGAACCGCAUGGUGGAAUAGUGAAAGACGGUCUUGGUGUAACUUAUAGAGGGAUCCGCGCUGCAUUAGCUAGUUGGUAAGGUAACGGCUUACCAAGGCAACGAUGCGUAUCCGACCGGAGAGGGUGAUAGGCCACACUGGAACUGAGACACGGUCCAGACUCCUACGGGAGGCAGCAGUAGGGAAUCUUCCGCAAUGGGCGAAAGCCUGACGGAGCAACGCCGCGUGAGUGAUGAAGGUCUUCGGAUCGUAAAACUCCGAUAUUAGGGAAGAACAUAUGUGUAAGUAACUGUGCACAUCUUGACGGUACCUAAUCAGAAAGCCACGGCUAACUACGUG